GUCCCUGCUGCUCAUAGUAUUUUGAGGAUUCCACACGUGUCUUUCCAACAAAAUAAAAUAGGGUCCUAUGGGGCUGAUAAUCUCACUAACCCCAAACCAUCUUGUGAAAGACAUGCUCCUGACAUUGCAGGCAGGAGCUCCUCCUGUGAGAACCAAGAAACCGGCAGGGUGGGUUGGUACUCCUGAAAAUUAACAGGUAGUGCCUGGGACAGAACCCAGGGCUUCACACAUACUAGCUAAAUGCUCUGCUUCUGAAAUGCACCAUGACUUUGAGUUUUGUGAUGGGCUCAACUUUUCUAGGGCGCACUUACACUAAGCUUUGCCUCAGGAAGAAGCUGGCAGCUGAAGAGUUCCAAGUCACACAACAGUAGGAAAUACAGUAACUGCCUCCCUGCUCAGGGACCCCAGCCUAGCGCACAAGGGCAUGAAAGCUGUAGUGUGACUGCACACACCCCUAGCUGACCAUCCUUACUGUGAUUACAGCUUGAACACCUGUUCUUAAUAAAGCAAAGGCAACCAU